AGGGAAUCUUCCACAAUGGACGAAAGUCUGAUGGAGCAACGCCGCGUGAGUGAUGAAGGGUUUCGGCUCGUAAAACUCUGUUGUUGGAGAAGAACAGGUGUGAGAGUAACUGUUCACAUCUUGACGGUAUCCAACCAGAAAGCCACGGCUAACUACGUGCCAGCAGCCGCGGUAAUACGUAGGUGGCAAGCGUUGUCCGGAUUUAUUGGGCGUAAAGCGAGCGCAGGCGGUUUCUUAGGUCUGAUGUGAAAGCCUUCGGCUUAACCGGAGAAGUGCAUCGGAAACCAGGAGACUUGAGUGCAGAAGAGGACAGUGGAACUCCAUGUGUAGCGGUGAAAUGCGUAGAUAUAUGGAAGAACACCAGUGGCGAAGGCGGCUGUCUGGUCUGUAACUGACGCUGAGGCUNGAAAGCAUGGGUAGCGAACAGGAUUAGAUACCCUGGUAGUCCAUGCCGUAAACGAUGAGU
rnacentral:rRNA from 1 species